UGCUUUUCUGUUGUGCAUGGAAAGGACUUGAGAAGAGGAGGGACGCUCACGGGAAGCUCUCAGAAGGCCACUAGGACCAGCCUCUGGUCCCAAGACUGUCCUGGAGAAGUCAAGACAGCAGAGUACGUGAUCCCGUCCUGAAGCCAGGGGUUCUUGUCCAUUUUGUUCACUGCCCUUUCUGCAGUGUCUACUACAGAGCUCGGCACAAAAUAUUUGUCCGAAACCAUUUGUAGAGCGAAUGGACUGUUCCCAUAAUCAAAAGAGAAGAAUUUUGAGUUUCCAGGUCAGCCCAAGAAAGAGAAGGUUUGGAUGACCAGAAAAUGAAAGACGAAUGACAAAGAGCUUUGGCAAGGCUAAGUGACUAGAUAAAGCCCAGGACUGUCACGAUGUCAUCAGCAUUGUGUGCCGAGGGGAGGGGGUCCCGACUGGCUGGCUGUGGAUCACCGGCUCCGGGAAGGGGGUGCCACAUGGACACCCCGUACCUCGUAGACACACGCCCUCUUCCUGGCGCCAGGACAAACCCCACUCAGAGAUGUACCCCCAUGAGGAUAAAAUGACACAAGGUCCACCACCACAUCCCCAGGUCAGGCCAGAUGUGCAAAGGCAGGAAACUAGCCCCGGCUCUGAGUAAACAUCUGUGCUCUUGGCCAUAUUAGUAAUUGGCUACGCUUUUCUAGGAUUGGACACAUCCGUGAAAAUUCCCAUGGUCCCAGCCACCAACGAGACAGAUGGCAGGCUCCGGCCCCUCUCCUAUCACAGGCUCAGCGUUUCUGGAGACUUCUUAGGUAGCAGCAUUGUCCGGGGCCAAGUGAUGCAUCCUGUGGCAGACAGGCAGGGCCAGAAUAUACUGGCGCCCAGGGCCUCAGACUGGGAGCCUGGCCCAACUUGUGCAUUUGUGAGGCAAAUAUUAGCCAAAUGGCUACUACACUAUGUAUUAGAGGCUAGGAGGACGUCGGGGCAAGAGCAGGGCCUGAGCUCUGCCUGGGCCGCCUGGGGGUCCUCCAGCACAGAUCGCUUGUAUUCCUGUUGAGCACUUGACCGAGACCGGGUGGGAGAGGAACCAGAAGUAGUUUACAGGAGCCAAACCCUGGAAGGCUUUGUUCACAGUGCCAACGAAUGCCAAUGACCUUCAGACUGGGCUCCGUGGAAGCCUGGCACUCACAGAGCUGAGCCCCAGCACUGCAAGUGUCUGGUUCAAAUUUCACUUGAAUGGUUCUAGAAGAAUGUCGGUGCCUUGCCCACACCUUCUGCUCCUUAACAUUGCAGCGCACACCGGCGCACUCUGCACAGCCAGCCCUGGCGUUUCCUUGAGCUCUUUUCUCUGACGGCCUGAUUCCGCUGCGCCUGGCCACGUUGCUGGUUGCCCACAGCCCGCGGCCCUCAAACAGUGCCGCUGGUUAUAAAACCCAGCUUCAUUUCCCCUCGGGAGAAAUAACACUGAGCCAUGUGUCCUGUGCCAGCUGCCAGAGUUUCCCAGUGCAACUAAGCUCCGGUUGUCCACGGAGCAAUUUAUCGGAUCUUCUCCUCAUUGGCUGCCCUCCCUUCCCAGUGUCCCCUCCCCAGCCCCUCCAGGGGGUUCGCAGGAGCUCCUCCCAGAGAAACCGCUGUACUUAAAUCCUUGCCUCAAGGUCUGUUUCUGGGGUAGCCCAGAAAUUCUCAUGCGCACCACACACACACAUAAACACACACACAAUAUCUCUGGUAGGAUUCAAAAAACUAACAGUGAAGAAAAACACUGGUUGGGGAUCAGGUGGAGGGAGCUCGUCAUUCAAUAUUCUUUGUUACCUUUUGGCUUGUGGACUCUAUCUUGUGGAUUCUAUCUAUUUAAAAAUAUUUUUUUAGAGCUACACAAAAUAUGUACCUUAAAUCAUUAAAAAGCAACUGUAAUUUGACAUCCAUAUAAUCGGGGUACCUGGGUGCUUCAGUCGGUUGAGCAUCUGAUUCUGGAUUUUGGCUCAGGCCAUGGUCUCAGGGUUCUGGGAUCAAGCUCCACUUCAGGCUCCGUGCUCAGUGCAGAGUCUGCUUGCAAUUCUCUCUCCCUACCCCUCUGCCUCCACCCCCCACUCGCGUGCUCUCUCUCUUUCUCUAAAAUAAAUGAAAUCUUUAAAAAAAUAUAUAUAAUCACAUGUGCUCUGUAUCAAAUGUUUACACAUUGGAGACCACCAAUGCGUUAAUUCAUGCUGCCAGGCAAAUGCUCUUGGAUACACUCAGAAGAAUUCAGCUUUUCUGCUAAUCUGAGUCAUGAUUUUGAAUAUUCAGAAAGGUGUCAGUGAAUAGAAAGACUGUGUGGGUGUGGGUGAUUUCUGACAAUUAAGGUCUGUUCAUGCCCUCUCACACCAAUGAGUACAAAUGCACUGCUGUGGUAAACUGAGUAACCACAUGCAGGCUGGCAAAGCGUAGGUGAUCACCUUCACUCCCCUCUGCAUACUUCCUUAACUGUGCAGUCGAACGUUCCUCUCCUGGUGCUCACCUCCUAUCAGCUCUGGUGGUACCUUCUGCAUGAGCCCGCCCUGAGCUCCCUACUUAGGGUGAAACUCACUGCUCCCCCGCACCCUGCGCUCACUCCUACCUCCCCCCAUCCUGCUUAUGUCCACAUCAUUUAUCAUCUGCUAACAUCCCUCAUAAUCUAGUUAUUGAUUGUUUCUUGUCUGUCCCCUCCCCACCACCAUGAGAAUGCAAGUUCCAUGAAGAAAGGGAAAUUCAAAUUCAAAUUCUGAAUGCUCUCUUGACCUGGGGGCAGUUUUUUCCUUCCUCUUCCCUGCCUCAUGCUGCUUGUUCUCCCAGAUUCGGGUGAGUGGAAGAAUCACCUUACCUUUCAGGGUAGUAGAAGGCUCACCGAGAUGACAUAAAUAGCCGUUAGCCGGGUGUGUGACAGAGACUACAUUCUCAGGAGUGUAGUCUGCCCAUCUCGCCAUCUGUCUGAUGGCUUUGGGGAGCCUUCUGCUCCACCCCUGGGCUAGACCAGGCUUCUGCUCUGCUCACUGCCCUAGCACCCUGGGCUCACCUCUGGGAACAUCCUCUUGCCUGUCUGUCUCCAACUGUGUUGGGAGCUUCUGCUAGGCAGGAAGCAGGAUUUGCUCAUCCCUGAACCCCCAUUGCCGACAGAGUGCCAGGCGCACAGUAUGGCUCAUAAGUGCUUUGGAAUAGAAUUGAACUGAGGGUACUACACAGUGGCCCAUUUUGCAUUAUUUGUGGGAAUUCUGAAGAAGGAGAAAUGGCGGCAUAGAACAUAGCCCAUGAAGGUUUGUUAGGUGGGCCUUGUAUGAGACAUGCACACACAGGUGGUUGUCUCAUUCUUACAGGGAACUUGGGCCUGUUCUUUCCUUGUAUACAAGAUGGUUUCUGCUCUUUUCUUUUUAUUUGUCUAAUCAACAGUCACUCAGUCCAUAAAUAUUUUCUGAGUCCCUACUAUUCUAGGCGAUGGGGAGACAGCCAUGCGUAUGUCAGAAGGAGACCGUGUCUCAGAGAGCGUGCAUUCCCUUGGAAGGUGUAGAAUGGCAUAGAAUGGGCCCUAUAAGUGGUAUUGUUUUUAAUUUUGAUUUCCACAUGGUCAUUGAUAUUAUAGACAACUAUAAUUGAUUUUUGAGUGUUGAUCUUGUAUCCUACAACCUAGCUAAACUAAGAGGGGUUUUGUUUGUUUGUUUUUAGAGUCCUCGGAAUUUUCUACAUUAGUCAUUGUUAUCUGACAAUGGAGAUAGUUUUAUUUGUUCCUUUCUGAUCUGAAUGCUAUCACGGGGGAAUUACCAACUGAGAGAAUCAUUCAGACAAAAAUGUAUUUCACCCAAAAAAUUCUGUUUUCUCACUCCUAGAUUAUUUCCCCACAUCCACUGGGUGUUCAGGGAACAGAGGCUCACUCUUACAUUAGAUCAAGCAAGUACUAUUAAUAAAAACAUCUGGAAGUAAUAAGAUAAAGCAUUAUGAAGCCAAAGAUGAGGGAUUUGCGGACUUUUCACAUCACGCCUCCUCCAUGAGCAAGGGUCACUGAAGAGUGAUUCUGCGUACUGUUUGUUCCCCUAGGUGAAGGCCACCCAGGCCUCGGGGCAGGCUUUCUCAAAGCCUCCCCAGGGGAGAUAAGCAACCCCUCUUCCAGGACAGGCUGACGUCUCAGCCUCCUGAAGGUGGGCUGGGAGCAGGGACAGACCCCUGGUCUGAGGAGAGGGUGGGAGGAGGCCUUCCGAAAUCUGAGGAGGUUCUCCUCUCACCUGGGGGUCCAGAUAGCUUUCCAGGGGCAUGCGUGGGUCACCACUGUUUCCUCCGUCUCUGAGCGGAGACACAGCUCCCAUAGGAUCCUGCCCGGUGUGGGUUUAGGUGUGGCUGGAGAGAAGGAAAACAAGAUCGUGCUCUGGUUCUCAGUGGUAACAAAUCUGGGCCGUGCAAGGAGAACUGUGUCCUUGAUGUCACCAGGAAACCGAAGCCAGGGCUGGAUGUCCGGACCCCAGAAUCGUCCAUGGAGAUGGACGCGCCAUGCUGUGGGAGCAAAGGGACUUUGUACAAUGAAAUCUCUGUUGGAGUUUGGUAAUCACAGUGCUAUUUACUUCUCUGAUAAAGUGCUGGGCAAUUCGUGGCUGGAAUAUACUAAACUACUCUGUGUGAUGCUUAAUCAACCCAUUUGUUAAAAGUGGAUGUGUUUGAGGAGGCUAGAACAAAAUGAGCUCAGCUCUUCCCAGCACAUGCUUGGCUAUGGAGAGAUUUAUUUAAUCUGGAAUAGUAAGAUAUUUUCAUCCACUUUCUGGAAAGCAAGAG